UGCCAGCAGCCGCGGUAAUACGGAGGGUGCAAGCGUUGUUCGGAAUUAUUGGGCGUAAAGCGCGUGUAGGCGGUUCGUUAAGUCUGAUGUGAAAGCCCGGGGCUCAACCCCAGAAGUGCAUUGGAAACUGGCGAACUUGAGUACGGGAGAGGAAAGUGGAAUUCCGAGUGUAGGGGUGGAAUCCGUAGAUAUUCGGAGGAACACCAGUGGCGAAGGCGGCCACCUGGACCGGUUCUGACGCUGAGGCGCGAAAGCGUGGGGAGCAAACAGGAUUAGAUA
rnacentral:rRNA from 1 species